rnacentral:lncRNA from 1 species
AAAUAGGUUCUCCAAGUUCCCAAAAUUGAGAACCUCUAAGUCUCUUCACCAAGGUUAGAUUGUAGAAGAAAUGAGUGACCUUGGAGUUGUUAGGAUUGCUAGAUGUACCCUCCAAGGUGUUGGCCUCUUUAGAGAGAAAUGGAGAGACUAUUCUCACCAAUUUUCCCCAAAAUAAAAACCCUUAAUCACAUAAUGAAUAUUUGGCUAUAAAGUCCUUUAUAUAGUCCCUUCAAAUAAGUGACCUAAAGAACCAAAACCCUAAU